UGUUUGGUCUUUUAAAUUGCUGUUUAGCAAAGCAGUGGUAAAUAUAUUUUGUUAUAUAGCCUAUGGUAUAUAAUUUACCAUAAUUUAAAUUUUUAAUCAUGCACUUCAAUGAAAACACAAUUUAACCAAUUGAUUAAAUAUAACAGCCAGCCUAUAAAUACAACUAGAUAAAUAGCACGUGUAUAUGUUUUCUAUUCUUUCUUUUAAGAUAUGUAAUCUUUUCAUGUAAUUGCAAUGUUACUACACUAUUGGCUGUCUCUCCGCGUGUUUUUGAGCAUGAUUGGUUAUUCUGAGUGUCAUCCAGGAAUCUGGCCAAUGACAGUUAUGCGCGCCUUCACCGUUCAAGUUUGAAUAUACGUCAGUUGGAGUGAGUGGGUGUGUUCUGCUGGCUGCUCGGGAUCUUCAGUACUACUUCGGUUCUGUGGCUUUUUACAUUGUUUAAACAUGGAUUGUUUUACAUCGGACUGCUACAUUUUUAUUUUGAGCGAGUUGCGGGAUGUAAAUGAAGAACAAACACGGAAUAUGGACAAUGAAUUUUAACAAUGCGUAACGGACAUAAUGCAAUCUGCGGAAGAACAAGCAUUGGAACAAUGUUUAUGGAGCAGAACAGGCACCAACAGAGAAGUCCAUCACUAAUGCACCAAGGAUCCAGCUGAUUACUGGCCAUUUGCAGGAUUGCUCUUUAUUUGCUGUAUCUGUCACAUCUGGAACACUUUUGUUGUAUGUUUUGAUUUAACGUAUUAAUACACUUGUAUAGUUAGGACUCUGAACUAAAAGACAGUAUAAUAUUUAUUAUCAGAACUAUGCGGGGCCCCUAGGGGUCAGGAGAAUAUUGUGAAAACAAUAUGUAAAACCAAUUUGGAAAAUACAAGCCAAAAACAGCACAAUUAGUUUUUUUCACCACCCUUUACAAAUGUGAAAUUAUGACCUCAUCAUGAUAGUAACCCUAACUGACAAGAUCAUAUUUUUAGU